rnacentral:misc_RNA from 1 species
GAUGAAGAACGUAGCGAAAUGUGAUAAGUAGUGUGAAUUGCAGAAUUCAGUGAAUCAUCGAAUCUUUGAACGCACAUUGCGCCCUUUGGUAUUCCUUAGGGCAUGCCUGUUCGAGCGUCAUUUAAACCUUCAAGCUCAGCUUGGUGUUGGGUGACUGUCCGCUUCACCGCGGACUCGCCUCAAAAUUAUUGGCGGCCGGUACAUUGGCUUCGAGCGCAGCAGAAACGCGAACUCGGGCCCGUCGUAUUGGCUCCCAGAAGCUAUCUUCACAAUUUUGACCUCGGAUCAGGUAGGGAUACCCGCUGAACUUAAGCAUAUCAAUAAGCGGAGGA